UAGGGAAUCUUCCGCAAUGGGCGAAAGCCUGACGGAGCAACGCCGCGUGAGUGAUGAAGGUCUUCGGAUCGUAAAACUCUGAUAUUAGGGAAGAACAAAUGUGUAAGUAACUAUGCACGUCUUGACGGUACCUAAUCAGAAAGCCACGGCUAACUACGUGCCAGCAGCCGCGGUAAUACGUAGGUGGCAAGCGUUAUCCGGAAUUAUUGGGCGUAAAGCGCGCGUAGGCGGUUUUUUAAGUCUGAUGUGAAAGCCCACGGCUCAACCGUGGAGGGUCAGUGGAAACUGGAAAACUUGAGUGCAGAAGAGGAAAGUGGAAUUCCAUGUGUAGCGGUGAAAUGCGCAGAGAUAUGGAGGAACACCAGUGGCGAAGGCGACUUUCUGGUCUGUAACUGACGCUGAUGUGCGAAAGCGUGGGGAUCAAACAGG
rnacentral:rRNA from 1 species